UACGGAGGGUGCAAGCGUUAUCCGGAUUCACUGGGUUUAAAGGGUGCGUAGGCGGAUAGGUAAGUCCGUGGUGAAAUCCUGCAGCUUAACUGCAGAACUGCCGUGGAUACUAUCUAUCUUGAAUGUCGUGGAGGUUAGCGGAAUAUGUCAUGUAGCGGUGAAAUGCUUAGAUAUGACAUAGAACACCCAUUGCGAAGGCAGCUAACUACGCGAAUAUUGACGCUGAGGCACGAAAGCGUGGGGAGCAAACAGG
rnacentral:rRNA from 1 species